rnacentral:rRNA from 1 species
GACGUAGGGCGCGAGCGUUGUCCGGAUUUAUUGGGCGUAAAGAGCUCGUAGGCGGUCUGUCGCGUCUGCUGUGAAAACUCAGGGCUUAACCCUGAGCUUGCAGUGGGUACGGGCAGACUAGAGUGCGGUAGGGGAGACUGGAAUUCCUGGUGUAGCGGUGAAAUGCGCAGAUAUCAGGAGGAACACCGGUGGCGAAGGCGGGUCUCUGGGCCGUAACUGACGCUGGAGGAAGCGGAAAGCAUGGGGAGCGAACAGG